rnacentral:lncRNA from 1 species
UUGGGGUGGGGGAAGAGACAGACACCAGACCACAAAAACCCUAGUGGGUUACACUGACUUCUGAUGUCAGUCUGAUUGUCAGGGGCACACGGAGUUUGAAACCAGGCAGAGGUAUGGUGCUACUGCUGCUGCUUUAGAAGGACCCAGAGGCCUGGAGAGUGGGGCCUUGGAGGAGGAGGCCCAUCACGAACAUCAACCGGCAGGUGGAGCUCUGGCAGCCAUUGAAGUUCGGGAUAGUGAUCAGGAGGAGGGGGACUGCAGAAGGAAAUCGGGAAUGAUAAAUAGCUGGGGGAGUAAAGCUAUCAGAGAGUGAGACUCUGGAGACCCCAUUGCAAGGGGAAGGUGUGGACUGUUUCAGGAAAGGAAGAGGGGUCGUUUAGAGGUGCUGAGGCACGAAGACGAAUCCCUGGCCUUCGUCUGAAAUAUGUUUGUUUUGCUUCUGCAGAUGCACGUGGAAUGGCUGCUAUGAAGUGAGUUGUGUCUACUGAAAGUGGGUUCUCUUGGGGAAGAAACCUACUUUUGGGUUUCCAGUUUAUGACAGCAAGUAGGACGUCUGCAAUCCUAGGUCAGCAGAUCUACCUUCCUGCCUACCCUAGCAACACAUUCGUCAGAGGAGAUUCUUCUGCAUGCAUUCUGCGUACACGUUGUUCAAUAUUAGAAACCAUGAUUUUUGGCUUAAGUCACCCUCAAUUCUGUUUCUGGUAGACGGCAGCAUAUAGGAACCUAAAAUGCUUUGGGCGAAGCAGCAACAGUCAAGCCCUGACUCAUAUUUUCACAAACAUCUACUACUUUUUACUUUUAACUCAAGAAACAUGGCUACUUAGUAGCUGCAUGAGGGACAUGGUCUUGGAUUCUGCCACCAACAUACUGACAUCUGAGACCUUUUGACUCAUCUAAUAAACUUCUUCUCCAGGGGGCUUACAUUCCUGUUACAUGUGGGUGACUGAGAUAAUCAGUGCUACAGUUAGUUUCCUGCUCAGAAGGGAACUGAUGUCAUUUGACCCCCCACCUACAUGCCCUAAAUUGAAAACAAACUACAAAAAGUAUUACUUAUCUAUGUCCUCAUGAUACCGGAACCAACAUUAAAAACAUCA